rnacentral:lncRNA from 1 species
CUGCCAUUAGGGUUACACUGCUAUGACCAUUUAGGAUGGAAGUGAAAGAGGCAUUAAUUAAGCAAUAAUGAUCAAGGUAUGGGGCAUUUCCUGGGGAUUAAUGACCGGCUGGGAGGAGUUGAUAGCCCACAGUUCGGCCAAGGGUCAUUAACCCCAGCUGGUCAUCAAUUCCUAUGACCUGCUUUAUAGUCAUUAUUGCUAUCAUAAGCCGAAAAUGAAAAGCAAAUGGGUCUAUGGAUUACUUUUAUGGAUGGUGCUGUUUCAAUUGGUAUCUAUAGGGCAUUUCUGGAGAAUGAAUGCUCUGUCCACAAGCCAAUUGGAUAUCUCAACAUUCCAUUCUACUUAUGUUGCUGCUUUGGACAAGCAAAGGAUGAAGCAGGUGCAUCUUACACUACACUGGUGAAAUACACAAGAGUUUAAUUUGGGAAUCCAGGUGCUGGCUUUCCUAGUCACAAGC